AAGAAGUUUCCACUUUUUCUCUCUACCAUCCAAAAACCUAAUCUAUGAAUUACUAUUUUUGAAUUCAAUUCCUCUCUUAACAACUCAAUGCCUUUGUUAUGAAUUUCCUAUCAUCAACCCUAAUCUAUGCAUAUCUACAACACUAAUCUCUCUAUCUCUCUAUCAAAAAUCAGAAUUUAUUGGUUGAUUGCUUGUUGAAUGAUUACUAAUCAUUGUGCAGAUUGAUUUAAAAGCAUGUUUCAUUCAAUAGCAAGAAAUAGUUUGGAUUUAAUUGACCAGAAGAGUAGAAGUAGUUGCAGUAUCAUUCUCGCAUUUCUUCGAAAGACGAUGCCGUCUUCUAUAGGAACGCAUGCACCAUUUCCUUCUUUCGUUCUUCAUUCAAGUCCUGAAAAAUGAACACUAUCUUCUGAACUGCCUCUGAGGUUCAAAGAAUUCGGAUGUGUAAGAUAAGGAUUUCUUUGAUCUAUUUUGAUCCUAAUUCAAGUAUGUGCAUCAGGAAAAAAGUCGUGAUGUAUUUGAGAGGCUUCUUAUUGAUUCAGAUUGGGCAAUUAACAAUCUGAACUGGUUAUGGCUGUCCUGUUCAUCCUUUUUUUAGUAGAUUGAGAAACUUCUUGCAAGAGAUUGAUAUGUGAGGAUAUUUUUGAGAGAUAUAAUUGUGGAAGCCAACCACACUUUUGAAGCCAAGCAUUUGAAAUAGAUGAAUUUUUUGUAUUGGAAGUGAAUUCUUAAAAUCCAUGCUAUUUUUUCUUUUUCAUUUUUUA